rnacentral:lncRNA from 1 species
UGCGACUUACCAUGAGCAUUUUCUGGAAUCGGCGACUAAACAAGAUCAACUCAAAACGCUGACAUUUUCGAUCCAUCAUCUUUCUCCAUAAAUCAGGUUAACUUUUCAAUCAGAUCCAUCAUCCCAAUAACUAGAAAUACUAUUCAUCCAAAAUAAUUAUUGCAUAUACUACCAUUUGUUCUAUUUGUUGCAAAUUUUAUACUAAUAUUUUACUCUACGGUGUUUACAUAUACCACUAUGAUAAUUCAUAUUUAUUUUAAGAAUUUGCACUUGUUCAUUAUCUAUGAAGCACCGACAUGGACACACUGACACGUUGACACCGGUAAUUAGUAAUUAUAUGACAAAAUGACAUAAUUGAAUGUAAUCAAAUGUGUUGGUCCCAUCAGAAGUGUUGGUGCUAUAGAGAUAGUAACUAUUAAGAUGUUAGUUCUGUAUCAUGUAAUAAUGCGCCAUGUGUUAAUUGCUUGUUCCCUUGCACUCUUUAGAUCUUAAUUUAGUAGCAGGGUUUUAAAUUGCAUUUGGUGAUUGUAAUUGUGAUUUGUGGCUUCAAUGUCAAGGUUUCUGGAACCUCUGUGAUUGAGUUGUGAUCACAAUUGCGGCCGCAUCAACAGCUUUUGUAUGUAAUUUUCAGUGUUAUCAAAGAUCCACAGUUUAAAACCUUGUUUUGUGGUUAGGAUAGUGGAAUGUUGUAGUUUAAAAGGAUGUUUUGUUUAAUUAGAUAGGGUGUGUUUGAUCUGCUAAAAAAUAAAGGAAUGGGC